GGGGCUGAGUCAGCGGGAGCGCAUAUAGAGCGGCAGCGCGGCGCCCCGCACCGCAUUGCGCCGACAUGGAGCUGCCGUGGCUGGGCCGGCACUGCUCGGAGCGGGCGUGCAGACAGCUCGAUUUCCUCCCUCUGAAAUGCGAUGCGUGUGGAGAAGUCUUCUGCAAAGACCACAUCCGCUACGAUGACCACAGCUGUAGCUCUGCCUACAAGAAGAAUGUGCAGGUUCCUGUGUGCCCCCUCUGCAAUGCACCUGUCCCUGUGCAGAAGGGUGAAGUACCAGAUAUUGUGGUGGGAGCCCACAUGGAUAAGGACUGCAAAUACAAUCCAGCACAGCAAAAGAUCUUCACAAACAAGUGCUUAAAGCCAGGCUGCAAGAGGAAAGAGAUGAUGAAAGUAGUUUGUGAGCAGUGUGGUGGCAACUUCUGCAUAAAGCAUCGGCAUCCUCUGGAUCAUGACUGCAAAGCCAGCAGCCGCCCCAUCUCCAAGGCUGGGCAGACAGGACAUCCUUGUGCUGUGCAGUAGGAGUGUAAAAUGUGCCUGUCAGAUGCAGAUAAUUAAACUGGAUGGAAGAGUGGGACUACUGAAGGUGCAGAUGAUAGAGACUCUUCGCAUCGGGAUCAAACCUUUGUCUACUUCGAAGUUAAUCUCGUCUGAAGCUCUUUAAUACUUUUCUAUGCUAGUAAUUUAUUUUUGUAUAAUCUCAGCCUUUCAAUAAACUGUCGCCCUUUCUAA